rnacentral:rRNA from 1 species
AGAGUUUGAUCAUGGCUCAGGAUGAACGCUAGCGGCGGGCCUAAUACAUGCAAGUCGAGGGGCAUCGCGGGUAGCAAUACUUGGCGGCGACCGGCGCACGGGUGCGUAACGCGUAUGCAACCUGCCCUUAACACGGGGAUAGCCCUCCGAAAGGAGGAUUAAUACCCGAUGGUAUGUAGGAAUGACAUCGUUUUUACAUUAAAGAUUUAUCGGUUAAGGAUGGGCAUGCGUCUGAUUAGCUAGUUGGGGGGGUAACGGCCCACCAAGGCGACGAUCAGUAGGGGUUCUGAGAGGAUGAUCCCCCACACCGGUACUGAGACACGGACCGGACUCCUACGGGAGGCAGCAGUAAGGAAUAUUGGUCAAUGGGCGGAAGCCUGAACCAGCCACGCCGCGUGCAGGAAGAAGGCCCUACGGGUUGUAAACUGCUUUUAUACGGGAAGAACCGCCCUCCUGCGGGGGGGUAUGACGGUACCGUAGGAAUAAGCAUCGGCUAACUCCGUGCCAGCAGCCGCGGUAAUACGGAGGAUGCAAGCGUUAUCCGGAUUCAUUGGGUUUAAAGGGUGCGUAGGUGGGUCCAUAAGUCAGUGGUGAAAUCCGGCAGCUCAACUGUCGCACUGCCUCUGAUACUGUGGGUCUUGAGUUAAGUUGAAGCAGGCGGAAUAUGACAUGUAGCGGUGAAAUGCAUAGAUAUGUCAUAGAACACCGAUAGCGAAGGCAGCCUGCUAAACUUACACUGACACUGAUGCACGAAAGCGUGGGUAGCGAACAGGAUUAGAUACCCCGGUAGU